AAUGAACUUUAUACACUAUAAAUAUAUCAAAGAAUAUUCUAUGUUUUACGAUGAAAAAUAUGUCUGCAAUAAUCAAAUUUAUUUAUGCUAUGAGUUUAAUUCUUUUCAUUGCAAAUGAACAUUAUCGUGAACUUAUAUGUAAAACUGAUGACAAUUGUCCAAGACGUGGAACCAACAAAUAUUUUAUUCAUAAGUGUAUUGAUUACAGGUGUCAAUGGAUUCCUCGUUGAUUCUUUGAGUAUCACAUCUGGGAGAGUACAAUAACAUACUGGAGAAUUAUUAUAAUUUCAAAGUCUACAAUUUUAAUUUUAUGUCACAUACUCCCUAAAAAUUUAUGUCACAUAUAGAAAUAUUAUAUGUGUGUUCCACGAGUUUCACAUGAAUAUGUCUUUAGAUUUUUGUUUUUAACCAAAUAAAUAUUUUAAUAAUAUAUUUUUAUGUAAUUUUAUCGAUUAUUUUGAUUGUA